rnacentral:rRNA from 1 species
UGCGUAGGGUGCAAGCGUUGUCCGGAAUUAUUGGGCGUAAAGAGCUCGUAGGCGGUCUGUCGCGUCUGCUGUGAAAACUCAGGGCUUAACCCUGAGCUUGCAGUGGGUACGGGCAGACUAGAGUGCGGUAGGGGAGACUGGAAUUCCUGGUGUAGCGGUGAAAUGCGCAGAUAUCAGGAGGAACACCGGUGGCGAAGGCGGGUCUCUGGGCCGAUAUUGACGCUGAGGAGCGAAAGCGUGGGGAGCAAACAGG